UAGCCUGAACAUGGAAGAUACAGUUCCUCGAGCAAAUAAAAGCGGAGAAAUUGCAUAUGCAUUCCACCUUAGCCUCGCGUAAGGAGACCAAGAAGAAGAAGGGACACAGAGUGCUGGAGCUACGGGGUCAGAAUGAGAACUGCCAGCUGCUUCUCCAGUCCAGUGAUCAAGGAAUGUGAGGAUUACAUCUAUCAACCCUGAGGUAGAGGGACAGAGGGAAGGUCAGGCUACAUUAGAAGGUGUGAGAGAUCGGAUUCAGGUGGAGAAAGACCAGCUUAGGGACUCGAAAUAGCAAGAACUAUUGCAACGUUGCCAUUAUGGAGGGCCAUCUCGACGGGCAGAGGGAUUCGAUAAAGCAAGCUACAGCUACAUAGUGACAGGGAUUCUAUCUCGGCAAGAGGAAGUGAUCAAACUACAGCAACGUGUACAGCAUCGACACGCCACAUAGGACUGUGAGACAAUAUAUGGAGGAAACAAAGAAUUUAUGAGGAGAAUUGAUGAGGAGAAAGAAGGAUGAACUAUGGACACCUACAUGUAGUAGCUUUGGACUUAUACCACAAAGAUUUCUCUGUUAGCUGGGAGCAAGCCAAUCCAAGAUAAACCAGGAAGUCAAUGGAUUGAUCAAAGCCUUCCAAUCUUAUUGUAAAGUAAAAACAGGGUGUUUAUUGAAGCCUAAAUCAUGGUAUAGAAAUUACACUAGAGAGUGUCAUUUGAGGUAACAAAUUUAGUAUUUAAUUCUCAAAUGAAUUUUUCUCCUUUUGUAAAACUUUAUUCAUCUGACUUUUUUUUCAAAAGUCUGCCCUGCUGCCAUAUAUUGAAUUGCAUAAUGCAGACGAGACAGCCAUCAUAGGCAUUCCACUUGACCAUUUCAUGAUACAAGGGAUUUCUGUCACCUAAAUUAAAUUGAAUGAACAAGCGUCAGUUUAAAUUCUAUUGGGGUGUGGCAAGAAACUUACGAUCAAUUGCAAGUCUAUUUCUGGUCCCUAAAUCAUUCAUAUGUCUUGCAGUUAAUUACAAAUUAGUGAUUGAUUGCUAAUCUGCUCCUUGAAACAAGAAGUUUAAUCUGAUUUGCUACAGUACAGCUAACGUUGAUCUAUAAGUUGUAAAAUUGCAACAGAAUAUUUGCAAUUAAUCGCAAUUUUUUUUUGCAACACCCCAUAUCUCAAUUUAUCCAGACUUUGAGUAUCAAAUAUUCGACAUGCGUAUGCAUCCGUUAAUCAUGAUUCCAUUUUGUUAUGUAUUUUAUGAUAAUUUCUUUUGUAAGGAGCAGGUCCAAGCUAUCAUCUCUUUGCCGACAGUUUCUGAGUUGUCUAUUGUUUCUGUAAGGUAGGAUUACAUUAAGUCUAAACAAGAUUGGAAAUGUGAGUUUUGUGAGGCUUAGGCUUCAUAAGAAUUAGAUGGUUUGGUAAUUAGGCCUAGUAGCUAUGUGCGGAUUUAACUUACCUUCCAACUUUAAGUUAGUAUUUGUGUUUAUUUUGUUUCGUCUAUUCUGCAAAAGUGGAUCCAAAGGUUUUCCAGAGUUUUUCCCUACAGUUUUUAUCUCUGGUUUUUUACCCUGGAUCUACUUGUCGUAGAAUUGUUAGAGGGGAAGUUCAUUCUGACAAUAAGUUGGUUUUAACAAAACUAGGAAAAUUACUGGGAAAUAUUGGUGAAGGUUGAUUAAAAUCUAUCAAAAAAUUAAUGAAUUUUGGACGUUUUGAUUUUGUGAUGUCACAGACAUAAUGUCUCGUGAUAUACAUCAUUUCAUACCUUCUUCCAAAAGAAAAUUAUUUUUUUAUUGUUUUGCUUUAAUUAAAUCAACUUAUUAUCAGAGUUAAUUUCCCCUCUUACAUGGAACAUCCCCUCCCCUAAAUUUUUCAUAAAUUAAAAAUAUUUAUUCUUCAUUUAAUAUCUUUAAUAUGUCCUAUAUAAUUUUGUCAUUUAUACACCAAGAAAGUUCAUGAAAUGAACAUUUUCAAUUUGAUAUCUAUUUUAAUCGAUAAAUUUAGAGAAUAGAAAAUUAUUUCACUAUCAUCUGCAUAACAGAAUUGAAUUUCUGAUUUUAGGGAAAUUAAUGAUUAUUUAUUUGACUUAAAAACAAAAAAUGCCCAACUAUACUUCCUUGCAGGACCCUGCAUGGUUUGGUCAGAAUAUAAGAUUAAAACUUGAUAAAUAAAAGUACAGUCUUUGAGAUCAAAGAGCUAGUUUUCAAAACAGUCAGGACAUAGAUCCUAAGCUUCAUGAAGAAGCACAUGUAAACCAUUGUCAGGGAAAUCAAAAGCUUUGCUUAGGUUAUGAAUUGAGCCAUUUGAAUUUUUACCUAUCUUGUAAACAGUCUGAAGUGUCUAAUUCCAAUCUGUAGAUAUCUGCAAACUUAAGUUGACAAGUCAAAUCUUAUGAAAUUCUACAUGAAGUAAAAUGUUCAGCAUGGGUUUUUUUUAAAGCAAUUUUCAGCCAAAGUUUCAGGUACAAAGUGUGAAAAACUUUAAAUGAGAAUUGUGAAUUUGUUCUCAAGAUGUGUAAGAUGCAAAGAAGGGAAAAAAGUCAUGAAACAUCACAGCAAGAUCUUCUUGGGUUACAAAUAUGCCAUGUGAUAAGAGUCAAGAUGAACUUUCCGGUCAUUGACAUUAGACUAAUUUAUUCCAAUGAAUUAGAGUUUUGGCUAUUAAUACAAUUUUACAAUUUGCAUCAAAUUUAUAGAUUGAAAUCAUAUUUUUGAGGUCUGGCAUGCACUUACAAAAUGUGCUGUAACUUUGUAACUCUGUGUUAGGACAUUACAAAUUUGUCUUAGAAGUUGCACAAGACUAAAAAAGACAAAGAAUUUAUAGGUGUAAUAAUGUGAUGAUAUAUGUAUGAUGUAUGUAUGACCAUACUUGGGAAAUUUUGGAAUGAUUUUUUUCAUCAAUUUUGCUUUUCUAUUUUUCUAUUGACUCGGUAAUAUGGAGCCAGCCAUAUGAAUUUUAUUACUCAGGAAAAAAAACAACCCAGCAAUAUUUAUUGUUGGGAAGCGUUUCUAUAUUAUAUUUGUUUUAAUCCAUAAAAAGUUUAUGACACAAGCAAAUCAAUUUGGGAAGGGGGGUGUUUCACAAACAGUAAAUCUGACUAAUAGUCAUGCUAACUGUCUUAAGUUAAUGCAGUGUGAAUACACACAUGAUGUUUUAUUGAUAUGCAGCAGAGCGCGUAAUAUGAGCAUGAUCCAACCUAUAUGGUAAUCCAUUGUUUUCGACACGCAACUUGGAAUUAAGAGCAAUUUUCAGUCACUCUUCAAUCUCUGUGAAACACCCCUUUAAUUUGUCUCUUAUAUCACGUGUAAUAUCUGAUAGCUUGGACCUGCCCUAUAUAGUUUGAUUGUCUGUACUAUAUACUUACUUUGUAUUAAUGACUUUUUUUUUUUCUUGAAAAUAAUGUAAGACCAGCAGCACAGAAUAUUCAUUCAAGUUGGAAGACCAUAGCAGUUGACCUCAUCAUUGAUUGAUGGAGUAGGCCCUUGAACUCACAAAGAUGACUUUCUGUCUGGUUUCAGCUGGGGUCUUCCUACCAGAAUCAUUCAAGUAGUGACAUCAUUACCAAGAGAUCUAUUUUUUUGGAGUGCAGAGGAGGGCACAGGACACUGUUGUGCGUGGUAUACAGCUUCCAUAAUGUAAGUGCUUUAUUGAUGAUUUUAAUGAUAUUCUGUGUAGCCUAGAGUAUGCGAGACAAUGCAAUUGGGUUUUCCAGCAAUUAUUACUACGAGGGUAAAAAUUUAAAAAUAUUUAGCAGCAAUUUCACCCACAUGUGGCUUUUAAUAUGCAUUUUGCCUCGGUCACACUUUUUAAAUUCAGGACAUUUUUAAUCUUUGGGAUGAAAUUCUUUUAAUGAAAAUCUUUCAAAACCAUCUACCAGUUGGCAAUCUGUUAAGUUUUUUGGGAAUUAUAUGAAAUCCCCAUCUGUUGAUGUUUAUUGUAGUCUCUAUUCUUUCUUGUACAUUUAGCCAGUCCCUUUCUUAUUCCAUAAUCUCUUGUCUUUCUCAUUACCCCACCCUCUACCCCUCAGCUUCCACUUUCUUCUCUCCUUUCACCUCAACAAUACUUGCAUUAUCUGUUGAUCCAUUGAUUGUCUUCUUUCUUUAUGUACCUCCCUGUACUAUCUGCUCUAGCUGCUGCUCUAAAUUCAUCUUUGUUUUACAUCUUUGCAACAGGAUAUUUACCAUGACUGGUAUAAAAAUGUGCUAAAACACAAAGAAACUAUUAUUUUACAAGAAAAUUUAUAUGUAUUUAGAGACUUUGAUCUCAUUUUUUUGAUUGAUUUCAGUACUAUUUAGGGCAUUAUGAAUUUUGCAAUUAAUUUAUUCCAUUUUCUGUACAUGUUAAUUUUGGUUACUGACUAUUUGAGUCACUGUAAUUCCCAUUCACCAUAAAACUCAUGUUUGUGCAAAACUGUUUAUGCGUACGCAUCAUGUAAUCGCAGAACGUGUAGAGAUUUAAGUUGCCCGCGUUGGAAUGAUAAGAUAUGUGAUGAAGGUUCACUCGUCAUCGGUUCGUCUGCCCCCAAUUUAUUUUUCUUUACUCAUCUUCAGAUAUUUAAAAAAAAAAUUAUGAGGAUUGUGUGCUUCAAUGUUUUUUUCCACAAUGUGUAAACAAAAAGAAAAAUGCUCCGUCAGUCACAGCAAUACAUGUAAGUCUUAAAUCUAGUCUCAGAAGUGCAAUGUCAAAUUUAGGUUUCUUUUUGGCCAGCAGUUGUGAUUUGCUUUCCAAGCUACUUAUACAAGGGUCUUGCCAUUGCAGUAUUUCUUGUUGACCCUUAUCAAUGUUUGUGAUGGGACUCUUUCAUGUUUGUCAAAUUUCUUCAAUAGAAUGGUUUAGCCAAGACGGCUGUAGGGCUCGUUGCAUUGAUCAAGGUUGAUCAAGAACAGGUUUGCACUUUAAAUUGAUCCUUUUCCCCAUUUGUAUCUGCACCAAGAAGAAAGGAACUGUUGACCUAUAUAUAAAGUGCUGCUCACUUCCAGAAAUCUGUUUCACUUUAAUACAAUGACAUCUCUGUAUUUGAUGUUUGGACAUCUAGUAAUCUGGAAAUGUGACGAUCCUCAGGUACUAUCGGACGAAGAGGAAUGGUGUUCUUUUCAGCUUACGCAUGAUAUCUGGAACUCUUCAAAACAGCGUGCAAGUGGCACAUUAACCGUUGGGUAUUCAAAUGCUUAUAUUUUAUGAGGUGCCUGCACCUUUGAUUGUUCUCAGUGGGUCUAGUUCCAGUAAUCCAGUUGAUAAUUUCUUGUCUUUUCCAUCCAUCUGUGAUGUUUUCCUGUGUUUAUUGGAUUUCUUCAGAUUCAUUUGAUUUUGAUGAAAUGAAAAGCAAUUUGAAGGCUUGGAAAGUUGGAUUUUCUCGAUCUGGUCCAGAGGCUUGACAUGAGGUGAUGCCAGGCUGUUCAUCCACCUUCCGAUCUGUGGGCGGGGUAGUGGUCUACCAAAUUGUCAACUCACCAGUAUCCCCCCCCCCCCAUGUUUAUUCAAUCAUUGCAUAGUCUGUUAGUUUUUCCUCAGGCUCAGGGGACAUUGUAAGUCCAGAGUGAACGAGAAUUGCAUUUAUUCACUUGGCUGGAUUAAUGUUAUAGGGGUUGCUAUGUUUGGGAAGGCAUUUGAUGGAAUUUGGCAUAUCUGAUUUGUUACAUCCCGUUGUCUCACAUUCAUGUUAGCUCUCUACUGGGCUUAAUUCACUCCAAACCAGAGCUGCUUCAUGGACAUACCUAAAUAAAUUGGUUCUAGUUAGGGAUUCACCCAUUGUGGUCAUAAAGGAUGGUGACAGGUCCUAAGAGAAGGAGCCAGAGUGGAAUGACUCUUUGAGACCUGACCAUGGUGAUCAAGGAAUACCUUGAAUAGCCUCAGUUACAUCAUCUGAGUGUUGCAGGGGUGAUUGUGUGCUGUAGCCUAUUAGCAACCUUUGUUUGAAUGGCCUAACAGAAGAAGCCAGAGCGGAAUGAUCCUUCGAAUCCAGACCAUGGUGAUCAAUGAAAGAGGCUCGUCAUACCUUGAAUAGCCUCAGCAACAUGUGUGGCGAUGACAAUUGUGUGCUCUAGCUCAUUAGCAACCAAGUUUUGAAUUUCUGUUUGAACAUAAGGAGUAGAUUGUUCUAACUGUUAAUGACCCUAUGGCUGAAGGAAUGGUUUCUUCCAUCCAAUCUGGAACGAGUUCUUGAAAUUUACUUGGAUACAGUUUCAAAAGUUUGACAUUGCUUCUCAGUGACCCGUUGUCUAAAGAAAUGGUCUCCUACUUCCAGUCUUGAAUAAGUUUGAGAACUUUUAGGGGUUCUAUCUCUGAAAUUUGACAUUGCACUUCGUGACUAGGAUACAUGCAUUGUACUGUUGAUGGUUGAUAGGGGAUUAUAAUUUAUAAACCAUUUGUGGGAUUUAAAGCGCACUUCCUCAGGACAGGCCUAUGUUGAGGUCUUGAUUCUCAUAUCUUAUCAGUUCAACUGCCUUGCCUUGUCUCUCAGAGUUGUGUGGAAAUAAGUGAUGGGUACAGUAUGCAAACACAUAACAUUUGAUCCUUUACCAGGGAUAUAGUCAAGGCUGGCCUCGAGGUCACUUUUUGCCGGCCUUGGCCUCAAUCUCGCGUACAAAAUCUAUGGGAGAAGGUUUUCUCCAACGGCCUCGGGACUUGGAAGUCCUUGACUACAUCCCUGUCCUGUACGAGAUGGUGAAUAAAAUGAUGGGAAAACAAAAGAAAAAGAGAAAACAGAAAAACCAACAAAUAAUUAUUUUUUUUGGUUUUGUUCUUAAUAUCUAUUUUGAAAUGCAGUGUUCAUAUAAGGUUUAUAGAAACACAUUGCAUUAUGUACAGAAAGUGGUGUAUUUAUUUGCAAAAUUUUAAUGGAUUCUAUUUGCUCAAUUAAAAAGAAAAUUCUUCCCCUCUCCCAACAAAAAAAUGAAGAAAAAAAUAAAGAAGCAAAAAACAGCCCCCACCCCCCCCCAAAAAAAAAAAAAAAUUAUAAUGCAAUUAUUAAGAACAAUUUAAUAUCAGUCAUGGAUAAAAUAUGUUGAAAAGAUGUGAAAUAAUGGAGGAUUGGCAGAUACAAGAAUUGAUAGUACAGGGAGGUAUGGAGAGAGAUUACAAUUAAUGGAUUAAUUGGUAAACAUGUAGAAAGGAGGAGGAAAGAGGGGAAGGGGGAGAUGGUAUUGAGAAAGGAGGCAGAUUAAAGGAAUGGGGUGUCGGCUUUGUUCAAGGAUGAAUAAAGAGACUACAAAGGAGAUCAACAGAUUGAUUUGGUACAUAAAGAAAAUAAUUUAUUGUAUUCAAUAAGAUAAGAAAAUACAAUUGUUGCCCUUAGCAACAGUUGAUGCAUUGUCUACAAUUCUUGGCUACACAAAGUAUCAUUGAAAUUGAAAAUAAAGCACCUACAUUCCAGAUGCGGUAUGUCAUGCAUGGCAGUGUCCAGUGCCCCGCCCUGUACACUUAGAAAUAGGACUAUUGGUAAUGAUGUCACAUAUUGAGUGGUUUUGUUUGGGAGACCCCAGCUCAGAUCAGGCUGUAGGUCACUUUGUGAGGGAAGGGGCUAACUCCAUUGAGUCAAGAGGUCAGCUGCUAUGGUACGAAGACUUGGAUGAAUCUUCUGUGCUGCUGGUCAUUUUUUUUAAAUACUUUUUUUGUGUGGAUAAGAUGCCUAAUAAAUCCUUAUGAAAAUGAAAAA